rnacentral:rRNA from 1 species
UACGGAGGGUGCGAGCGUUGUCCGGAAUUAUUGGGCGUAAAGAGCUCGUAGGCGGUUUGUCGCGUCUGCUGUGAAAACUCGGGGCUUAACUCCGGGCCUGCAGUGGGUACGGGCAGACUAGAGUGCGGUAGGGGAGACUGGAAUUCCUGGUGUAGCGGUGAAAUGCGCAGAUAUCAGGAGGAACACCGGUGGCGAAGGCGGGUCUCUGGGCCGUAACUGACGCUGAGGAGCGAAAGCGUGGGGAGCGAACAGG